AUGCCAAAAAUGAAAAAAAGGAUAUGAUGGAAAUGUGUGGCGUUGAGUCAGCAGAGAAAAGGCAUUAAUAUGAUCUUUAAUGAGUAAAAGUUAUUUAAGGCACGUGUAAAGUAUUGGAAUGCAAAUGUUCAAAUUCAAAAUGGAAGAAAGUGUCUCAUCUCUUACUCAACACCGUUUCUGUUUCUCCCUCCGUCGUGCAGGAGGCUGUCUCCGGCGGCGGAGGCGCCUCUCCACUUGAAUAAAUAACAUCAAACUAACCGAAAUCAUGCGAGGAGUCUGAAUCCACCAAUGAAUUUUUCUAAUUCCUUAUGAACUAUUCGAGUCGAAACAAAAGUUGACGAACCUUAAACACCUAAUUCUUUAAAUCAGGUGCUCCAAUGGAGUAAUCAAAGUCCCCAUAGUUAGGGGUUUGAUCCUUAUUCCCGAAAACUGCACCAUGGUAUUAAUAGUGAUGGUGAAUAUACAGUGAAAGAGAACGUACCGACGAAGACCGGUGUGGGGCGAACUCGAAGCACCACAGGGAUGAUGAAGACGACCGCGACGGACCAACUCUGUUCAGGUUAAAGAUUGGUGAAUAGUUGAAUUUUGGACAUUGUCGCGGGUUCUCGAGUUAGAGUGAACUGGUGGUUCAAGAGGUUGAAACGCAUUUCGUAGAUGAAUGCCAUUUCAGACUGGUUGGGAAUGUGAGCUACAAAUUAAAGUCUACAUUCCAAAACAUGUUAUGGACUUGGGGAUUGUAGAGCUAUGUUUCCCAUGAUUUCAAAGAUGCCAGGAAAGGGGACACCGCGUACGACUUAAAACCAGUGAUCUCAUGAGAUAUCACUCUGUCACUUGAAGGUAGAAGGUUAUCAAGUCGUUGCCAUGCAAUUUUACUGAUUUCCUUUUGGUUUGCAGGGCCAAUUAUGUAUCAUCUUCAACACUAGCAACAAAGUAAAGUCGCGUUCUCUGUUGUCCAAAAAUAACUCAGAGGUAUUCAUCCUUGUUAAGAAGUUUUUGAAACAUAAACCUGUUUUGUCGGAGACUUGAUGCUCUUAGCCUUCACGCUCUCAACCAGAACUUUCUUUGUAGCAACAACUUUCUUCCUUGGUGUUGUCUUUACAGAUGUCUUAGCAACCUUCGUCGACUUCACCUCAGACUUCGGCUUCACAACUGCCUUGGGCUUGACAACAACUUUCUCCUUGGCAACAAUAGGCUUAGUCUUAGCCGUGGCAGUUCUGGGCUUGAUUGUGGGUUUUUUGUGGGCUUCGCAACUACCGCUUUGACCUUGCAGCGACCUUUGGUUUGGUAACAGCUUUGUCUUUAGGCUUAGUAACUGAUUUAGCCUAAGCAUGGCCUUGGAAACUGUCUUUGUUUGUUGCAGAAUUCAUAUGCCAAUGUUGCAGGAUGGACUAUAGCGACGAUACUCAAUGUAUGAUGGAUUAGCAGACCGGUUGGUUUGUUGGCUUGGUAUUGUCACUUAGGCAUGUCAUUUGAAUGGUUGGUCCAUGUUGUAAUGUGGUUUGGAUUGGUAAUGAAUUGGUAUGAUAUGAUUUUAAUGGAUAUGAAUAUUGGAUAUUGAUUAGUUA